rnacentral:rRNA from 1 species
CAAUAGCGUAUAUUAAAGUUGUUGCGGUUAAAAAGCUCGUAGUUGGAUUCCUGCCGAGGACGACCGGUCCGCCCUCCGGGUGAGCAUCUGGCUCGGCCUAGGCAUCUUCUUGGGGAGCGUAUCUGCACUUCAUUGUGUGGUGCGGUAUCCAAGACUUUUACUUUGAGGAAAUUAGAGUGUUUCAAGCAGGCCCACGCCUUGAAUACAUUAGCAUGGAAUAAUAAGGUAGGACCUCGGUUCUAUUUUGUUGGUUUCUAGAAUUGAGGUAAUGAUUAAUAGGGAUAGUUGGGGGCAUUCGUAUUUAACUGUCAGAGGUGAAAUUCUUGGAUUUGUUAAAGACGGACUACUGCGAANGNAUUUGGNAAGGAUGUUUNCAUUG